GGGCUUGCUUUGACAGCACAUAUACUAAAAUUGGAGUGAUACAGAGAAGAUUUGCAUGGCCUAUCGCAUGGAUGACACACAAAUUUAUGAAGCAUUCCGUAUUUUU
ensembl:snRNA U6 U6 spliceosomal RNA